UAGACUUGUAUUCAAACUCUGGCCUGCCAAUAUGUCAGAAAAGAAUGGAAUAUUAGAUUCAUAUUUACUUUUGAAGUUAGAUAUAGAAGUUGCAUUUCAACUUUACCAACCACCAAAAUUUAACUUGAAUCUGCAUAUCGUUAGUAACAAAAUAUUUUCAUGCAUUAUAGUAUAUAAAUGACUAAAAUAUGAAACCUUAUAACAUGUGAUUUGGACAAAACAGAACGCAUACUUAACAUUGAUACCAAAAAAAAAAAAAAAAAACAGAACGCAUCUUUUACUAUACGGCGUUGUUUGACUCUUUAGUCACGCAAUCUAAUGUAACGAGUGGGUUCACGCGCCGAAUCUACAUGGUGGCACCCACUUUUGAUUGUGAUAUCUUCCCAUGUUGGUAAGUGGGACCCACUUUUCUUUGGAUUAGAUUUUCAUCAUUUCAACGAGUGAAUUGUGUCGUUUUGUGGCAUCACGCAACGCGAUCACCGUCAUCAAUUAUUAGCCGUUGAUUAAGGUUUACAUCUAUUCCAUCGGACGGUUGUCACGACUUCAUUGCACUUACCUCUAAUCUCCACCGUCUAAAUAAUUAACUAGAGUUAAAAAAAGUCAAGAGAAAGUUGACUUACAAAGGAAAUCGAUGACGAGGCGU